CAACCAUCAAGCCCUGCUUGUGUUGGGGUCCUGCGGCUGCCCGCAGGCCCUGAAAACCAGUGGCGGGCUCGCUAGUCACACCGAGCGCAGUAAUACAUCUCGCUUAGGUCGUGCGGCGGGUUCUUGCCGUUAAACACCCCCCUUCCAAA
rnacentral:misc_RNA from 1 species